rnacentral:rRNA from 1 species
AUUGAACGCUGGCGGCAUGCCUAACACAUGCAAGUCGAGCGGAUGAAGGGAGCUUGCUCCUGUAUUCAGCGGCGGACGGGUGAGUAAUGCCUAGGAAUCUGCCUGGUAGUGGGGGAUAACGUCCGGAAACGGGCGCUAAUACCGCAUACGUCCUGAGGGAGAAAGUGGGGGAUCUUCGGACCUCACGCUAUCAGAUGAGCCUAGGUCGGAUUAGCUAGUUGGUGGGGUAAAGGCCUACCAAGGCGACGAUCCGUAACUGGUCUGAGAGGAUGAUCAGUCACACUGGAACUGAGACACGGUCCAGACUCCUACGGGAGGCAGCAGUGGGGAAUAUUGGACAAUGGGCGAAAGCCUGAUCCAGCCAUGCCGCGUGUGUGAAGAAGGUCUUCGGAUUGUAAAGCACUUUAAGUUGGGAGGAAGGGCAGUAAGUUAAUACCUUGCUGUUUUGACGUUACCAACAGAAUAAGCACCGGCUAACUUCGUG